rnacentral:rRNA from 1 species
UAGGGAAUCUUCCGCAAUGGACGAAAGUCUGACGGAGCAACGCCGCGUGAGUGAUGAAGGUUUUCGGAUCGUAAAACUCUGUUGUUAGGGAAGAACAAGUGCCGUUCGAAUAGGGCGGCACCUUGACGGUACCUAACCAGAAAGCCACGGCUAACUACGUGCCAGCAGCCGCGGUAAUACGUAGGUGGCAAGCGUUGUCCGGAAUUAUUGGGCGUAAAGCGCGCGCAGGCGG